rnacentral:snRNA from 1 species
GUGCUCACUUCGGCAGCACAUAUACUAAAAUUGUAAUGAUACAGAGAAGAUUAGCCUGGCCCCUGCACAAGGAUGACGCAAAUUCAUGAAGCAUUCCAUAUUUUU